UAAGGAAUAUUGCGCAAUGGGCGACAGCCUGACGCAGCGACGCCGCGUGGGGGAUGAAGGUCUUCGGAUUGUAAACCCCUUUCGGCAGGGAAGAUGGAACGGGUAACCGUUCGGACGGUACCUGCAGAAGCAGCCACGGCUAACUUCGUGCCAGCAGCCGCGGUAAUACGAAGGUGGCAAGCGUUGUUCGGAUUUACUGGGCGUACAGGGAGCGUAGGCGGUUGGGUAAGCCCUCCGUGAAAUCUCCGGGCCUAACCCGGAAAGUGCGGAGGGGACUGCUCGGCUAGAGGAUGGGAGAGGAGCGCGGAAUUCCCGGUGUAGCGGUGAAAUGCGUAGAGAUCGGGAGGAAGGCCGGUGGCGAAGGCGGCGCUCUGGAACAUUUCUGACGCUGAGGCUCGAAAGCGUGGGGAGCAAACAGGAUUAGAUACCCUCGUAGUCCCUGAGCGGGCUGGCAAGGCGCAU
rnacentral:rRNA from 1 species